rnacentral:rRNA from 1 species
UAAGUUGUUGUGGUUAAAAGCUCGUAGUUGAACCUUGGGCCUGGCUGGCCGGUCCGCCUCACCGCGUGUACUGGUCCGGCCGGGCCUUUCCCUCUGUGGAACCCCAUGCCCUUCACUGGGUGUGGCGGGGAAACAGGACUUUUACUUUGAAAAAAUUAGAGUGCUCCAGGCAGGCCUAUGCUCGAAUACAUUAGCAUGGAAUAAUAGAAUAGGACGUGUGGUUCUAUUUCGUUGGUUUCUAGGACCGCCGUAAUGAUUAAUAGGGACAGUCGGGGGCAUCAGUAUUCAAUCGUCAGAGGUGAAAUUCUUGGAUCGAUUGAAGACUAACUACUGCGAAAGCAUUUGCCAAGGAUGUUUUCAUUUAUCAGGAACGAAAGUUAGGGGAUCGAAGACGAUCAGAUACCGUCGUAGUCUUAACCAUAAACUAUGCCGACUAGGGAUCGGACGGUGUUAUUUCUUGACCCGUUCGGCACC